CAGAUAAGAAAACUGAGUCUCAGAGAAAUUAUGGCUUGUCCUGGGUGCCUAGAGGAGGUCUCUCAUAGAUGCCCACGUUCUCUUGACAAGAUAUUUGGGGAGGACCCCUGGCUACUGUCACUGCUGCCAUGCCUGCCAGGAGGAGGCACCUUCCUGACACUUCACUGCUGCUGCUCAGCAGGCCUGCCAAGUGGUUCUGCUGUGUUCUAGGAGAAACAGGAAAAAUGCCUCUCCUCCCACUUUGCACUGUGCUUUGUCACCUGGGCCCUAAAACACCAUUGCCUGCCCCUGACGCCCCAACAGCUCCCUCUACCAAACUGAGGCUGGGCUGGGAGACUAGGCACUACACCAUUCCAUUCUCCCUUCUCUUCUUCCAUUCUCCCUUCCCUCCCUCUCUUCUUCCCACUGCCUCCAAGACACCUGUACUGGAACUUUGUCCAUUCUUACACUCACACACACACACAUGCACAUGCAUAUGUGUACACACAAAAGUCUCUUGUCCAUCAGAUCAUACAAAUAUAUGCUUGGGACAGGGGUGAUCACAUGCCCCACAUGCCCAGUGGACAUUUAGGCUCAGAUAGGACAAUUCUUUCACAAGGAUGACAAAACCUACCUUCCGUGGUUGCUGUGAGAACAAGAAAUUGUACAUACAGUGCCCAUUCUACAGCAAACCCAACAAUGAUUUAAAAUCCACAAUAGGCCGUGCGGUGGCUCACGCCUGUAAUCCCAGUACUUUGGGGGGCUGAGGCGGGCGGAUCACGAGAUCAGGAGAUCGAGACCAUCCU
rnacentral:lncRNA from 1 species